rnacentral:rRNA from 1 species
CCUACGGGUGGCUGCAGUGGGGAAUUUUGCACAAUGGGCGAAAGCCUGAUGCAGCGACGCCGCGUGGGGGACGAAGGCCUUCGGGUUGUAAACUCCUUUUGUAGGGGAAGAUAAUGACGGUACCCUAUGAAUAAGCCACGGCUAACUCUGUGCCAGCAGCCGCGGUAAGACAGAGGUGGCAAGCGUUGUUCGGAAUUACUGGGCUUAAAGGGCGCGUAGGCGGUGGUGUAAGUCUGAGGUGGAAUCCCGGGGCUUAACUUCGGGACUGCCUUGGAAACUGCAUUGCUUGAGUCGAGCAGGGGAAGGCGGAAUUCCUGGUGUAGCGGUGAAAUGCGUAGAUAUCAGGAGGAAGGCCUGUGGUGAAGACGGCCUUCUGGGCUUUGACUGACGCUGAGGCGCGAAAGCGUGGGGAGCAAACAGGAUUAGAUACCCGUGUAGUC